AAUAAUGCUUAUUUGGGCCCUUUUUGGCCCUUAAAUUCCUAAACUGUUGGAACCAAAACUCCCAAAAUCAAUCCCAACCUUCCUUUCGUGGUCAUAAACCUUGUGUCAAAAUUUCAUAGAUUUCUAUUCACUUAAAGUAAAGUUAUAGUGCGAAAACCAAGAAAAUGCUUAUUUGGGCCCUUUUUGGCCCCUAAUUCCUAAAAUGUUGGGACCAAAACUCCCAAAAUCAAUCCCAACCUUCCUUUUGUGGUCAUAAACCUUGUGUUAAAAUUUCAUUGAUUUCUAUCCACUUUUACUAAAGUUAGAGUGCGAAAACUAAAAGUAUUCGGACGACGACGACGACGACGCCAACGUGAUAGCAAUAUACGACCAAAAAAUAAAAUUUUUUGCGGUCGUAUAAAAAGAAA
rnacentral:lncRNA from 1 species